rnacentral:lncRNA from 10 species
AGGUCAGCCACCUGCAGCCAAGGAGAGAGGCCUCUGAGGAAACCAACCCUGCCAGCACUUUGAUCUUGAACUUCCAGCCUCCAGAACUGUGAGAAAGUAUAUUCCUGUUGUUUAAGCCACCCAGUCUAUGGCAUUUUGUUUUGGCAGCUUUAGCAGACUAAUAUACUUCCCCAUUCCCCCACAGUGCUUCCUGGGGUCAAUUCUCAGAUAAAUGAUUUGCACUUUAAUCCUUAUCUCAGGGGCCAGGUGGGAGGGGGCUCACGCCUGUAAUCCCAGCACUUUGGGAAGCCGAGGUGGGCAGAUCACCUGAGGUCAGGAGUUCAAGAGCAGCCUGACCAACAUAGUGAAACAUCGUCUCCACUAACUUUACAAAAUGUAGCUGGGUGGGGCGGCACAUUGCUGUAGUCCCAGCUACUCAGGAGGCUGAGGCAGGAGAAUCCCUUGAACCCGGGAGGUGGAGGUUGCAGUGAACUGAGAUCGUGCCACUGCACUACAGCCUGGGUGACAGAGUGACUUCGUCUAAAAAAAAAAAAAUUAUCUCAGGAAACCAACUCGCAGACCAACAACGCAUAUAUGGUGGGACAUAGACCCCAAGUAAGAGUGAAGCGAAGACUCAACUUUAACCACCACCCUCUAAGUUUCUUUUGAGGAGCUUGGAGAACGUCACUCCCUGUGGGUCUAAGUGGUACAGGCGCUAAAAAAUUAUUUAGGCAGAUAGUGAGGGUAAGGAAGUCCUCGGCUGUUUCCCUUUUAACAAAAAGCAGUCCCUAAAUCAUUUAUUUUCUAACAAAGAGCAGCCUGUAAAAUCGAGCUGCAGACAUAGAUAAGCAAGCUGGAAGCUUGCAUGGGUGAAUGCAGCAGCUGUGCCAAUAGGAAAAGGCUACGUGGCGGCCAGGCAUGUUCAACAUGGCGGCUCCAUCUUCCCUUUUCUUUGUCAACUAGGUGUACAGUAAGGAACCGACAACAUCACACCGGCCAGGUAGAGAAGCCAUUUGCAUAAUAGAAGAUUAGGGUGGGGUGGCCAGCUUCUUUGCGCGCUUUGUAAACAUCACACCUAGUCCACCAAUCUUUGGGCCCUAUGUAAAUUAGACAACACCUCCUCAAGCCAGUCUAUAAACCCUCCCCUCCCCGCACAUGCAUUUCACCGCAAAACCCAAAGACCCACUUAGGUGUCCCCUCUCUCCGCAGAAGAGAGAGCUUUUCCCUUUCUCUCUGUUAAACCUCUUCUCUUAAACUCACUUCUUGCGUGUCCUCGUCCUCGAUUUCCUUGGCGUAAGACGACGAACCUCAGGCAUUUACCCCAGACAACGAAGGUGCUUCAUAAGGUCAUGCAGCUGGGUCAACAUAGGACUGUGUAGCCAAGAGCUACAGGAUGGAUUGCUGAGGCCAGGGAGAUUGAAAGGAAGUCACAGCCCAAUCUCAGAGGGAUCCACGGAGCCAGCGAAAGCUAAGGCGGGACUUACCCAACAGAGGGUCCUGGCCCAGUCACCCAGUGGCACAACCCAACUGGGAGAUCUGAGCAUCUACCAACUGUGGCCACCAGUGAGAUGGUGUCAUUGUCUGGGUGCUGCUUGAGCAUCCACACAACAUGGCGCUAGCUUCCCCCAGAGUGAGUAAUCCAGAAUGAAGAAGACAGAAACCACAAUAUCCUUUAUGAACUGGCCUUAUAAGUAAUAUUUUGUCAUUUCCAUAAAGUCCUAUUGGUUACACAAGACUGCCGUAUUCAAUAUAAGAGUGACAACACAUGGGGAUAAAUACUUGGAGGUGUAAAUCAUUGGGAACCAUCCUGGAAGUUGCCUACAAUACUAGGAUCUAUGGCUACAAUUCCCUGGGUCUUGGCUUCAAGACAGAGAAAAGGGAAAGAACAUGAAACAGCCCCAUGUGGUUUUUGUUUUUUUUUUAAUGGACAAGAGUAAGAAAUGGUGAACAUUUCUUCUACUCAUAUUCUACAGUUAGAAUUUGGUCACAUAAUGUAUCUAACUAUGAAGGUAGCUAGGUAAUAUCAUCUCUUGUUGGGAGGGUAGCUGGGAAUACCUCUAUACAAUGGAAGGAAGAGCAUGAACUUUUGGUGGAGAGAUAAUGCUCUCUGCCAUGAUAAAAUGAAAAAAAUAACAUAUGCAGAAUGGUCAACAUAACAGCAUGAAGCAAAUGCACAAUGAAUGAUAAUCAUAAUAUAGUGCUCUUUUGAUAAUCUAGUGCAUACCCAGAACCUGGGAGGUAUUUGGUUUUAAUACAUGUUUGUUGUAUGAAUACGUGAGUUAAGGUAAUGGAUGCAAAAAUGGUAUAAAUAGGAGGAAUUAUAAUUGAUAUUUCUUGAGUUAGCAUGUUUCAUUGGCUAUCUUUAUGGAGGUCCAGACCCUCCUCCGAAGGUGGAUAUUACUGUUCCGAUUUCAAUUGGUCAAAUAGAGACCAAGAGACUUUAGGCAACUUGUUUUAGAUUUGGCACUGAAUGGCGGGAAAGUGCAGAUUUUCUGAGUACUAUGUCUGGGCUCUUUGCUAUAAGCACUAUUGAUUUGAAUGGAUAAGAACAGAAAAGUCCUUUGCUCAGAGGAGAAUCAGGGCCACUGUAUCAGUCAGGGUCCAAUCAAGAGGCAGAAACUAUACCAGUUAUUUAAUUUCAUUUAUUUAUUUAUUAUUAUUUUUUAGAGAUGUGGUCUUGCUGUGUUGCUCAGGCUGUUCUCGAACUCCUGGGCUCAAGCAAUCCACCUGCCUUGACCUCCCAAACUGCUGGGAUUACAGGUGUGAGCCACUGUGCCUGGCCCCGUACCAGUUAUUUUAACAGAGAGAAUUUAGUAUGGCCCAGGCGCAGUGGUUCAAGCCUGUAAUCCCAGCACUUUGUGAGGCUGAGCAGGGAGGAUCACUUGGACCCAGGAGUUUGAGACCAGCCUGGGCAACAUAUUGAGAGUCCACUUAAGAAAAAGAAUUUAAUAUAAAGAACUUUUUUCUUUUCUUUUUUUUUUUUUUGAGAUAGAUGGAGUCUCACUCUGUUGCCCAGGCUGGAGUGCUGUGGCGUGAUCCCAGCUCACCGCAACAUACGCCUCCUGGAAUCAAGCACCUCUCCCGCCUCAGCCUCCGGAGCAGCUGGGAUUACAGGCACUCGCUAACACGCCUGGCUAAUUUUUGUAUUUUAGUAGAGGCAGGGUUUCACCAUGUUGACCAGGCUGGUCUCAAACUGCUGACCUCAAGUGAUCCCCUGUCCUCGGGCUCCCAAAGUGCUGGGAUUACAGGCAUGAGCCACCACGCCUGGCCGAGAAUUGUUAACUAGGAAUCAAGUUGAUAACCAGGCAACUAAAAAGGAAAAAAAAACAACAAAACAAAACCAACCCAACAACAAUAUUAAUGUAUCACAGAAGAAGCAACUGAAGGAAACAGCUAUACUCAGAGGUCUGGGGGAACAAUGAGAAAAGGUUGGCAUUAACACUUAGAAUCAGCCAAGUGCAGUGGCUCAUAUCUGUAAUCCCAGAGACUCAGGAGACCAAGGUGGGAGGAUUGCUUGAAGCCAGGAGUUUGAGACUAGACUGGGCAACAUAGUGAGACCCUGUCUCUACAAAACAUAAUAAAAUUGGCCAGGCAGAGUGGCAUUCACCUGUGGUCCCAGCUACUCGGGAGGUUGAGGUAGGAGGAUCACUAGAGCCCAGUUACAGUGAGUAUGACUCACUGUAACUACACUCCACUACACUCCAGCCUGGGAGACAGAGUGAGACCCUGUCUCAAACAAACAAACAAACAAACCAAAAAAUCACUAGAAUAAUAGGAGAAAAGUGCCCUGCAAACUGAAACUCAGAUCUCUAAGGAGGGACGGGGGUUGGAGUCUUUGAGGGGUGCAAUUAGACUGGUUCUGCCAGUGUUAGGAAAACUGCAAACUGGAUUGAGAUGCUGCUAUGGGAAGGAACUGCCAUUGCAGGAGAAAGGAAGCCUUGCUAGGAGAGUGUUCACAGGAACAGAAAGAGCAAGUUCCUUUUUCCUCCAGCCUUGCAGUUCCCCUCUAACACCCCCAUGGGUAGAACCUCACAGGAAGCAGCUGGAACAGCAGAAAUAUGCUUUUCCCAAUUCCAACUCUUGUAUCACAAAGCAGAAUACAGAAGGUUGGGUUUGGAGUUGAGAGAUAACAACUAAAUAAUAGCUGGCACAAGGCCCACCUGAUCAGAAAUUAAUCUCACCUCCUUGGGGAUAAGGGCUUUGGGUGGGAGGAAAGGAGGCUCUUGAACUCAUGGGCAUUGAGCACGUGACUAGUUGUCUUAGAGAAAAUGUGCCACCCUGCAGGGCCGCCUGAAAGCUUGUACAAGUGCCUGAGGAAAGCCGGAUUUGGCAGGCUGCAACCACGGUGGAUGACAGCUGAAGGAGAAUUACAGCAGCAGCAGUUAAGUAGAAGAUGUUCACACUUCCUCGCUCUGCAUCUUUCUUCCUGGAGCCCAACACCUCGGAGGAGAAUGGGAAACCCAGAAGAAGGAGUGGGAAAUCAGUUGCUCUGGGGGAAGCCAGCUGUCAUGUGACAAACAGCUCUCCACAGAGGAUUAUGGGGCAUGUAACUGAGGCCUCCAGCCAGCGGCCACGUCAGUGAGUUUGGAAAUAGGUCCUCUAGCCCAGUUGAGCCUUCAGAAGACGACAUGAGGAUUUGCUGCAGUUCUGCCCAACAUCUUGAUUUCAAGCUCAUGAGACAGCCUAAGCCCAAACCACCCAGCUAAGCCAUUCCUAGAUUCCUGACCCAAAGAAACUAUGUGAGAUUAUGUGUCUGGUAUUUUAAGCACUAAGUUCUGGGAUAAUUUGUUUUGAAGCAAUAGUUAAGAAAUACAAUGAGAUAACACUAAACGCAAUGAGAGAGCACUAAACACUAUACUUGGUGUAGAUAAGGUCAUGGAGCCACAGGAAUGCUCAUUUUGUGCUAGUGGAAAAGGAAAUUGGAAAAACCAUUUUGCAAUGUAUAACCAGGUGGCAAUAUCUACAGUUUUAAAGCUAUGCCUAUUAUAUGAUCUCACAGUUCCACUUCUAGGUAUAUAGUGCAUGAUCCUGUGCACAGGAGACAUGCACAUGAAUAUUCAUAGCAGGAAUGUUUGUAGUAGCCUCAAAUUGGAAACCAUCCACAUAUCCAUCAGUAAUGGAAUGGAUAAAUAAGUUUUGGUAGCAGUUGAGCCUUGAACAACACGAGUUUAAACUAUGUGGGUCCACUUAAUAUGCACAUUUUCUGGGUCCACUUAUAUGCAGAUUUUCUUCUACCUCUGCUACCCCUGAGAUGGUAAGACCAUCUUCCUUGAUCCACUUCCACAGUAAAUACAUUUUCUCUUUCUUAUGAUUUUCUUAAUAUCAUUUUCUUUUCCCUAAGCUUACUUGAUUGUAAGUGUACAGUAUGUGAUAAAAAUAACAUGCAAAAUAUGUGUUAAUCAACUGUUAAUGAUCAGUUAAUACUUCUGGUGAACAGUAGGCUGUAAGUAGUUAAGUUUUGGGGAAGUCAAAAGCAUAUGCAGAUAUUUGACUGUGUGGGGUGUUGGUAUCCCUAACCUCGUGCAUUGUUCAAGGGUCAAUUGUAUUUGUACAAUAAAAUGUUAUACAGCAAGGGUUGGAAGAUUUGUUCUGUUAAGGGCCAGAGAGUCAAUAUUUUAGGCUUUAAGGGCUGUACAGUCUCUGUCAUACCUAGUCAACUCUGCUGUUGUAGUAUGUAAGCAGCCACAGAGAAUAGGGAAAUGAAUAAGCAUGGCUAUAUUUCAAUUAUACUUUAUUUACAAAACAGAUGGGGAACUGGAUUUGGCACAGGGGCCACAGUUUUCUGACCAUUACUCUAUAAUAUUGAGAGUAAAAGGGGCCAGGUGCAGUGGCUCACAUCUGUGAUCCCAGCACUUUGGGAGGCUGAGGCAGGAGGAUUGCUUGAGGCCAGUAGAUCAAGACCAGUCUGGGCAACAUGGCGAGACCCCAUGAUAUGGUUUGGAUGUGUGUCCCUCCUCAAAUCUCAUGUCAAAUUGUAAUUCCCAGUGUUGGAGGAGAGGCCUGGUGGGAGGUGAUUGGAUCAUGGGGACAGGCUUUCCCCUUGCUGUUCUUGUGAUAGUGAGUUCUCAUGAGAUCUGGUUGUUUAAAAGUGUGUGGCACCUCCCCCUUCUCUCUCUUCUUCCUGCUCUGGCCACAUAAGACAAGCCUACUUCCACUUCACCUUCUGUCAUGAUUGUAAGUUUCCUGAGGCUUCCCCCACCAUGCUUCCUGUAGAGCCUACAGAACCAUGAGCCAAUAAACCUCUUUUCUUUAUAAAUUACCCAGUCUCAGGUAUUUCUUCAUAGCAGUGUGAGAAUGGACUAAUAUACCCCAUCUCUACAAAAAAAUUUAAAAAAUUAGCCAGGUGUGGUGGUGUGUGCUUGUGGUCCCAGCUACUUGGGAGGCUGAGAUGGGAGGAUCUUUUUAGCCCAGGAUGUGGAGGCUGCAGUGAGCCAUGCUCAGGAUUUUAGUCUGUUCUCACGCUGCUAAUAAAGACAUACCUGAGACUGGGUAAUUUAUAAAGGAAAGAGGUUUGAUGGACUCACAGUUCCACGUGGCUGAGGAGGCCUCACAAUUAUGGUAGAAGGUGAAGGAGGAGCAAAAUCAUGUCUUACAGGGCGGCAGGCAAGAGAGCAUGUGCCAGGAAACUGCCCUUUAUAAAACCAUCAGAUCUCACGAGACUUAUGCACUAUCAUGAGAACAGCACGAGAAAGAUCUGCCUCCAUGAUUCAAUUACCUCCCACAGCGUCCCUCCCAUGACACACGGGAAUUAUGAGAGUUACAAUUCAAGAUGAGAUUUGGGUGGGGACACAGCCAAACCAUAUCACUCAGGUUGGGUGACAGAGCAAGGCCCUGUCUCAAAAAAAUAAACAAGUAAAAUAAUAAAAAAAGAGAGAAUGAAAGAGCCCAGGUACAAACAAGAACAUAGAUAAGUCUUUGAAAAGUAUUGAAUGAAAGAAAUCGGACAUAAAAUAUGUACUCCUAUUUAUAAAAAGUUCAAAAGCAUGAAAAAUGAGACGAUAUUGUUGAGGGAGCAUCUUGAGGAGGUGAAACUAGAAGGCAAAACAAGGAAUUGAGUCUUUAAAAUGCCAGGAUUGUUGUUACUUUGGAGGGUAGAUAGGGGUGUGUAAUUGAGAAGGGGUACCUAAGGGACUCAUGGGGUGCUGGCAAUAACCUUAUUUAUUAAUCUGUUGGGGGUUUCACAGGUGUUUAUACAAUCUGGUAAGUUGUAUAUUUGUGUUUUGUGUUCUUUUCUGUAUUUGCAUUCUAUUUCUCAAUAAAUUGUUGAAGAAAAAUGAAUAUUAAGA